CGGGUGAGUAAUGCGUGACCAACCUCGCCCCAUGCUCCAGAAUAGCUCUUGGAAACGGGUGGAAUGCUGGAUGCUCCAACUUGACGCAUGUCUUGUUGGGAAAGUGUUUAGUGGCAUGGGAUGGGGUCGCGUCCUAUCAGCUUGUAGGCGGGGUAAUGGCCCACCUAGGCUUCGACAGGUAGCCGGCCUGAGAGGGCGGACGGCCACAUUGGGACUGAGAUACGGCCCAGACUCCUACGGGAGGCAGCAGCG
rnacentral:rRNA from 1 species